rnacentral:lncRNA from 1 species
CUGACAUCUAUGAAGGUACAACACCUGUUAGCCUGAAGACGCUGUGUCACAUCACAAACAACAUGCUGCUUGGAUAUAUUCUCCUUUUUCUAAUCGAUAACACAGUUAAAUCCCAGACAACCCAUCCUAUCACAACAACUUCAGUGCACACCCCCACACAAAUGCUUCCUCCUCUGCAGCUGGUGGCUAAUCCAGACUAUCCAGUCGCAGCCGGUCAAAAAAUCAUCCUGCAAUGCAGUGCUCUCACCAUCCUAGAGAACGUCACCUGGUUUUGGCAACGGCAGCAAAAUCACACCUGGGCGGACGUGGGCACGGGGAUGGAGCUGAGCCUGACUGAGCCUAAACAGAGCGGUGAGUACCGCUGCGGUGCUAAGAGACAGUCAGCAGAGCCGAGCCUGAGCCCAAGCCACACAGUCUAUAUCAUCUUCACAAGAGCAUCAGCGGGAGAGAAUUUAGGAAUAGCUGCAUUUGUCCUUUCUCUUCUGGCCUUGAUGAUCAUCAUUGCUAUGAUUUUGUGGAUGGGCUGGCAGGCACUUAAUCUAACUAUUAAAACCUCCAUCACCGCAGAUAAAGGUUUUCCUGGACCUGAAGCAUUGUCAAACAAAGGAACACCACGGAUUAACAGUGACCAAGACGUGUACAUGAACUACAUAAGCAACAACCAACAAAACUACACUGAUCUGGACCCCUCCAGUAUGACUGGGGAUGCUGUGUACUCAAGUCUAUCAUGAAUCAAGAUCUAAGAGGAAGGUGUGCGAGAAUCAGAAACUCUGCUUUAAUCUGAGAGAGACAAGCUUAUAAUUAUAUGGGAUUAAAAACCCACAAUUUUGAAGUUCUGCAAGCUCGCUUUGCUCUUUGAGUAGACACUGAGACACUGUCAGAUUUACUUUGUAUCAUCACAAUAAAGCACAAUAAAUUCACA